UACGUAGGGGGCGAGCGUUGUCCGGAUUUAUUGGGCGUAAAGCGCUCGCAGGUGGUUCGUCGCGUCGUGCGUGAAAGACCCCGGCUCAACUGGGGGAGGUCGUGCGAUACGGGCGGACUGGAGGCCAGUAGGGGGAUGCGGAAUUCCGGGUGUAGUGGUGGAAUGCGUAGAGAUCCGGAGGAACACCAGCGGCGAAGGCGGCAUCCUGGACUGGUCCUGACACUCAUGAGCGAAAGCGUGGGGAGCGAUCCGG
rnacentral:rRNA from 1 species